GACGAACGCUGGCGGCGUGCUUAACACAUGCAAGUCGAGCGGUAAGGCCCUUUCGGGGGUACACGAGCGGCGAACGGGUGAGUAACACGUGGGUGACCUGCCCUCAGCUCUGGGAUAAGCCCGGGAAACUGGGUCUAAUACCGGAUAUGACUUCAUGACGCAUGUUGUGGAGUGGAAAGCCUUGUGCGGCUGAGGAUGGGCCCGCGGCCUAUCAGCUCGUUGGG
rnacentral:rRNA from 1 species